ACGAACGCUGGCGGCACGCCUAACACAUGCAAGUCGAACGCUCGUAGCAAUACGGGAGUGGCGGACGGGUGAGUAACGCGUGGGAACCUGCCCAGGGGUGCGGGACAACUUCGGGAAACCGGAGCUAAUACCGCAUGAUGCCGAGAGGCUAAAGAUUUAUCGCCUUUAGAGGGGCCCGCGUCGGAUUAGGUAGUUGGUGGGGUAACGGCCUACCAAGCCUUCGAUCCGUAGCUGGUCUGAGAGGAUGGCCAGCCACACUGGGACUGAGACACGGCCCAGACUCCUACGGGAGGCAGCAGUGGGGAAUCUUGGACAAUGGGGGCAACCCUGAUCCAGCGAUGCCGCGUGGGUGAUGAAGGCCUUCGGGUUGUAAAGCCCUUUCGGCGGGGACGAUAGUGACGGUACCCGCAGAAGAAGCCUCGGCUAACUCCGU
rnacentral:rRNA from 1 species